rnacentral:lncRNA from 1 species
ACACGCUUCCCCACUGAGGGAAGACCAUGUGACUAUACAACAGGAAGGUAGUUGUUUACAAGCCAGGAAGAGAGCCCUCACCAGAAACCAAAUUGGCUGGCGCCUUGAUCAUGGACUCCUGGGCUCCGGAACUGUAAGAAAAUUUGUGUUGUGGAAGCCACCCAGCCCAUGGUAUUUCGUUAUGGCAGCCUGAGCAGAGGUGGUAGCUAUGUGGACAGUUUUUGGACUUCUCUAUUGUUGCCCUUCAUCACUCAGCAGUGAAGAAUGAAAAUCAACAGAGCUUUCCCCAGCCUGCUGCUUAAGCAGCUGCUAGCAGGCUGAGGCUGCCCAGCCUCAUUAACCCAUUAGAUGCUGCGUUCGCCCGGGAGUCAUUCUUAAUGAGGCUGCUGCAGAUGAGAAAACAGAAGCAAAGGCAGAAAGAUGCUACAUUGCCAGCUUUGAAGAUGGAGGGAAGAGGUCACAAACCAAGGAAGGCAAUGAGGACGUUGCACAAGACAGUCCCUGAUACCCAGAGUUUACUGCCUAAGAGAGGAUACAUCCUUCAAACCAAUAAUCUGCUAAUAGCAAGAUCCAAUAGCUUCAUGGAUAUUGAAAGAAACUGAGAAUCAAAUUUGCAUACUUCUGAGUCACUUGGAAACAAAAAACAAGUACAGUCUUAGAUUCUGAGGGAACAAAAAUUAAAAAUCACAUUAGGAAGAGAAUUCCUAAUGUAGGAACUCAUCCUGGAAGAUUCUUCAGCAAAAGUACAGACAAUAAUAAUAAUACUCCAUGAAGUUACCAUCGAUAUUGAAUGAAUUAAUGAAUGUAAAAACCUCAAAACCCUGCCUGGCCCAGAGCUUUGGAAUGGGUUUGGAUCUACCACUCAACUGCUUUAUGACUUCAGACCAGUUAUUUAAAUUCCCUGAAGCUCAGUUUCCACAUCUUUGAGUUUUUAUUAAUGACCUGCCGACAUCAUACAGUUCAUGAAAUGCUCUGGAUGUGUACAUGCUGAUGAUACGACCUCAGACCCAGCAAGAGCUCAGUGCAGCCCGGAGAGCUGUGAGCAGUGCCACAGGAGGAGAUGACUGGUGAGUGAAAUAAGCAAGAUAGGAGUUGAAGUGUACAUGAAGCAGAGUCCAAGCCUUCUCCUUCUGGAUGUUCAGCUGGAUCAUCCUGACUGCUCCCACUUUCAUCUUGGCUUUCAAAGGCAAGAGGAAAUUAUAAGGAAUAUUCUGAGUGGCUUUCAUCCAGGAGUUCUGUGGGACCCGCAACACCUGGAUGGUAGAUGCAAACAGAUAAAGAAUAUUGGUCACCAAAAGGAGUUCUUUUCAUCAUAGAUCUCUGAAGGUAGACACCUAUUUGCAGACUUCUCAAAGGGCUAUAUGGAUGUGCUCUACUUGUUGGAGGAUUGUCCAUCCACUCUUCUUCCUGUACUUACCAGGACAGAACAGCCGCAACUUCUCAGACAGUUCAUUCUUCUUUUCCUCACCUACUACCAUCUAAGAAAGGUACUUGAUGACUGUGGCUUUAGACAAGAGUCCUUUUCUUACCACAGGGUGGGCAGCACCAGCUCAUUAGAACCAUUUGUGUGACUGACUGAAGACAGCUCACCUUGGAACACUGCAGGUGCACAGGUGGAUGACUUGGCAGGAGAUGCCAUUUAUGGCCAUGGAACAGUCAAGUUGUUAAGGGGACCAAGAAUGUCAAUGAACUAAAAGUUUCUGGACCAGUUUAUUAGGCAAAAAUUAAAAAUAAAAAUAAUAUUUGAGAACCUAAAAUAAAUUUGAUCUCAACUUGCAUAAUAUCUCUAACUCACUGAGGUUCCACGAAGACAGGCAGGAAGCCCAAGAAAAAGAGGUUGAAGAAAAUUAACUCUGAAAAACUUUGGCUGUAGUUAUGCAUUUUGGUAAUUACAGUGAACUAAGAGCAAUAGCUCAACAUAAGGGAUAAAAUGUGUGUCAAGUCUCAAGAAAGUACUCAAACACUUUUUAAAAACUCAGAAAGCAGAACUGUAAAAGGGUAAAUGGUGAGGUGGAGGGAAAAACUUGGAAGGUAAAGGAUGUAAUAAUUAUUUAUUCCUUUUCUAAAACAAAGAUGAAAGGGCCAAGUAUUUAUUAUUCUUUUAUUAAAAUAAGAAUGAUGAAGCUUUACUCCUUUUCCUGCAAUUUUUUUUUUUUUUUUUGGCAAACCUCUCAAAUAUUUUGUAAUAGCUCUAAAGAGAAAAGGUUAUGGUCAUUUUCAUAUCUUCUUUUGUAAAACACUGUUCAAACCUCUUGCCAAUUUUUCCACUGUAUUUUUUGUCUGAUCAAUCUGUGUACAUUCUUCAUAUAUUCUAGACCUAAGCUUGUAAGUUAUGUGUUAUAAAUACCUUUUCCCAUUUUGUGGUUUUAUUUAUCUCUUGGUAUUGGUGUCUUUUUGUGAACAAAAGUUCUACUCUUACUAUAAUCUCAGUUAACAAUCUUUUCCUUUAUGGUUAGUAAUAUUUUGUGCAUCCUGUUUAAAAAUUAUUUUACAACAGUAAAGGAAUACAAAUCCUUUUUUAGAUUGCCUUCAAGAAACUUUAUUAAUUUCCUUUCAUAUUUAGACCUAUAAUCUACUUGGAUUUGAUUUUUGCAGAUAACGUGUGCAGGAAUUGAUGUUCAGCAUUGUUUUUUGUCUAUUUGGCAAUCGUAUUGUCCCAGUCACACUUUUUAUCUUCCUCUCACUGCUCUGCCUGUACUUUUUUCAUAAAUUAAUAGUAAAUAUAUGCAUAGAUUUCUAAUCUGUUCUAUUGAUCCAUCUAUUCUUGCACAAAUACCACAUUGUCUUAAUUACUCUAGCUUUAAAUUGACAUCUAGUAGGGGAAGUUUUCCCAUUAUGUUUUUCUUUUUCAAUAGUGUUUAAUCUCUAUUCUUUUUCAAUUUACAUACAUGUGAGAAUCAACUUGUCAAAUCACACACACACACACACACACACACACAGCAUGCAGAGUCGAACUUCUUGAGAUUUUUAAUGGGACUGUAUCAAAUUUAUAAUCAAUUGAAUCUUCUAGUCAGUGAACAUGUAUGUUUUCUUUAAUUUCUUUCAACAAUAUUUUGUGAAAUUAUGCCUUGAGAGUUUUACACAUCUUUUAGAUUUAUUCCUAGAUAUUUUAUUUUGUGGACUUUAUUGUAAAUGGUAUCUUUAAAAUGUCAUUUGCUGACUACCUUCAGUUCAGCAACCUUAUUAAGCUAACCUUCUGUUUCUAAAUAAUUAUCUGUAGAUUUAUUUGAAUUUUGUAUAUAUUCAGUCAUCACACCUGAAAAAAAUAAAAUAUUUUUUCUUCUAUUAAAGUUAUUUUUUUCAUGUCUUACUGCAUGGCAUAAAAAAAAGGUAAUAAGGACAUAUCCUUGUCUUUUUCCUAAUUUCAGAGGGAGAGUUUUCAAAAUGUCAACCAUGCUGAAUUUUCCAAUCUCAGACGGAAGGUUUUCAGCAAAUAUCAAGUGUAACAUUUGCUCUAAACAUUUGUAGAUAUUUCUGUCAAGUUAAGAAAGAUGUUUUUCCUCUUAUUUUGCAAGCGCUUUCCCAUGAAUGCAUUUUGUAGCUCCUCUAUUUUGUUAAUACGGUGAAAUAUUGAAUUUUAAUGUUAAAUGAAAUUUUCCUUCCUAGAAUAAACUCUUUGUCCAGUUUUGUUUUUCUCUUUA